UGCAUCCUGAGGCCCAAGUCCUCCUCACAGUGGCUUCACUGGGUGCUGGGACUCUGCAGGGACCGAGCUGUUGGUGCUCCAGCAUUCAGGGAGCUCCUGCCUUGGGGUGGACAGACAGCAGGAGGCGCUCUGCCUCCAGCAAGAGGUGGCUCUGGGGGACAGCUCUCCAUGGGGGACAGCUCUCCAUGGGCUUGGACACCCGUGCUCCCAGACAACAGCUUCUGCCGUGCUCCCAGAUGAGAGCCAGAGCCCUGCCUAUCGGGAGGCCACACUCAUGCCCAAGACUUCUAGGCCUCAGCAGUGCUCCCAAGGGUGUGGCACCAGGUGAAGCAGGGCAGGUGGAAUGCAGGAGCAGGCAGGAAAACCCAGCUCUUCCAAGUCAGACACUGGAGAGCUCUGCAGACACGAAGACAAUGCCAUGCCUCCCCCUAAAUGCUUUUUGUUUUGGAAAAUAUAGCUGUUCGUCAUAAGGUAUUUACGUUGACGUAU
rnacentral:lncRNA from 10 species